rnacentral:rRNA from 1 species
UACGUAGGGUGCGAGCGUUAAUCGGAAUUACUGGGCGUAAAGCGUGCGCAGGCGGUCUGUUAAGACAGAUGUGAAAUCCCCGGGCUUAACCUGGGAACUGCAUUUGUGACUGGCAGGCUAGAGUAUGGCAGAGGGGGGUAGAAUUCCACGUGUAGCAGUGAAAUGCGUAGAGAUGUGGAGGAAUACCGAUGGCGAAGGCAGCCCCCUGGGCAAAUACUGACGCUCAUGCACGAAAGCGUGGGGAGCAAACAGG